UACGUAGGGUGCGAGCGUUAAUCGGAAUUACUGGGCGUAAAGCGUGCGUAGGCGGUUCGUUAUGUCUGCUGUGAAAGCCCCGGGCUUAACCUGGGAAUGGCAGUGGAAACUGGCGGGCUUGAGUGUGGCAGAGGGGGGUGGAAUUCCGCGUGUAGCAGUGAAAUGCGUAGAGAUGCGGAGGAACACCGAUGGCCGAAGGCAGCCCCCUGGGCUGACACUGACGCUGAGGCACGAAAGCGUGGGGAGCAAACAGG
rnacentral:rRNA from 1 species